rnacentral:rRNA from 1 species
AUUGAACGCUGGCGGCAGGCCUAACACAUGCAAGUCGAGCGAGCGGCGGACGGGUGAGUAAUGUCUGGGAAACUGCCUGAUGGAGGGGGAUCACUACUGGAAACGGUAGCUAAUACCGCAUACCAUCAGAUGUGCCCAGAUGGGAUUAGCUAGUAGGUGGGGGAAUGGCUCACCUAGGCGACGAUCCCUAGCUGGUCUGAGAGGAUGACCAGCAACACUGGAAAGGAGACACGGUCCAGACGCCUACGGGAGGAAGCAGGUGGGAAUAUGGCACAAUGGGCGCAAGCCGGAUGCAGCCAUGCCGCGUGUGUGAAGAAGGCCUUCGGGUUGUAAAGCACGUGCAGCGGGGAGGCGUUACCCGCAGAAGAAGCACCGGCUAACUCCGUGCCAGCAGCCGCGGUAAUUC